UCUGCAUUGAACCAUUCAAUAGUACAAGUACAGUAUGCACAUUCUGUUAUGCUAGCAUUAGUCACUCAAGAUAAUGGCCCGGUGAGGGGAACCAGCCUUAACCAAUCAGAAUGAAGUAAACAGGUGUAUCAAUCAUAUAGUAAUAAGUAACCUGUGUGAUGUCAAUCAUGUAAUACUGAGUAACCAGUCUGUAAGAAAGAGAAUAAAAGCAGCGGUCCGGGACUAUCCUGAGACGCCUCACUGCAGCUUUGUCUCGUCUCUGUUUCCCGAUACAACAUCUGGUGACCCCGACGUGAUCCAGACACAGGACCCCCGACUCAUCGGCUGGCUUAGCCUUGGUGCACCACAGCGCAACGCGCUCCCUCCGCCGGCCGGACCCAGCCAAGCGAGUCGUGCCGGCGGAUUUGGUUCUACUCGCGUUAAUCUGGAGCAAGGUCUCCUUUUUCAUCCACAGAUUGCUGCAGUAUUACAACACAUCCGAACCCACAAACCGACCCUUUUUAUCUAGAGCCCAGCGCCAUUAUAGACAGACCGAGCCCCUUCCGGCGCCGAAGGUGAUAUAUCGCAAGUUGCCAGGACCAGAGUGGAGC